UCCUCCCCCCUCCACCUUUUCCUCCUCCCCUCUUGUCUCCCCUCCUCCUUUCUUCUGAAUGCAAACUAAAACUCUCCAGUGACAGGCAGGCUCGCAGGCUUGGCCUAGCUGCGCACGCAGGCACACACAGGCACACACACACACACACACACACACACACACACUCUCCCUCUCCCUCUCUCUCUCUCUCUCUCUCUCUCUCUCUCUCUCUCUCUCUCUCUCUCUCUCUCUCUCAAGCAGCUCAGCUAGUUGCUGCUGCACUGGUGGAGUUAAGAGACAGGAAAAAGCCCAGGCUGAGUUGGGGGCAGGGAGAAAAAGAGAGGGAGAGCGAGAGCAGAGAGCUGCCUCCUGUGUCCUGGUAAAAUGGCAGAAGAGAGGUGAGUCCUUUGGAAGAAAAGCAGUGGCCACACACGUGUGCACACAUACACAGACUCAGGCCAUCUCAGCGCCAGGAAAAGUGAAAUAAAUGACCCGACAAAGGAAAAAGCAAAGUCCCAUUAGCUGGAGAUUGGGGGAGUAGGGAGAUACGAGGGUGAGUGGCCCCAGGACUGGGGUUUCUGUUGAGUGGUUAGGUGAUUUUUCUUCUUUACAAAGAGAAAAAUUUGUUUCCUAAGGAUCUAGCCUUCUUUCACUGCAUAAUUGAGCAUGGACUUGAGCUACUAGUUAAAAUAAAAUCAUGAAAUGUGUAAAUGUGUGAGUAAACUUAACUGUGGGUUCAACUUGUACCCAAGAUAUUUUUAAAGUGAAGCUUUUUUUAUUUUUUUAUUUUUAUUUUUUAGCAGAAACCCUAGAGAGCAGUAGCAAGGAGAGUAGUAACAAGUAGUGUAAACUAGGAGAGCUGUGAAGUGUGAUGCUAAAGUUACUGAUUGACAGGCUGCUGGAAUUUAUGGAGGGUGGGCCUGAGAGUUGGAGGAGGGGAGGGUGAGUGUGCUGUUUUCUAGGAAUAAGAGGGGAAUGAGGUAGGAUAAUGAAUAUGGCAAGAAACAAGCAGGAAUUUGAUUGGUGUGGAGGGAGGAGGUGGGGGCUGUAAAGGAGUGGAGAGAGAGAGAGAGAGAGAGAGAGAAACAACACUGCAUUAAAAAAAGAAGAAAGAUGGAAGCCCAGAAAGAUUGAAACAUGCAGAGUAAAUGAGAUGGUAAAAGAAGGCAUAAAAUGUGAGCAAAAAGGAGCACAAAGGAUGUGCAAAUUUGCAGAUGGCAUGAAAUCAGGAGGGCCAAUUGAGAUCAGGAAGAAGAAUGACAGGAUGAUUAUAUGACAUUCAUAUUUUUAGAUACUGUGGACUCACAGACCUAACAAGGUCUCCUCUGCCUAGGCCAGAAGAGUUACCCCUAUACAACAGGAUCUGAAUGGAAGCUUAGCUCCUAACUGCUGCUGAAUCAGAUCUGUACUUUUUCAUGAAGAUUGUUUAGACUCUAUUCCUCAGAAUCUUCCUUUACAAAAUGGAAAUUAUGAGAACACACAUCACUCAUUCCUUUACAGAUGAUAGAAAAACGAGGCACAGAGAGGUUAAGCAACUUGUCUGAGGUCACACAGCAAGGCAGAGGUAGAGCUGAAAUCCAACUGAGGCCUGUGUGAUUCUAAAGCCCCAGCGUUUACCUGCCAUAUUAUGCCUUCUCACUGGAGUAGUCCAGGCAUUCUCUUCCAGCCUCUCAUCUCCAGAGGUGAGGAUCACCCCUCUCCUUUGACGUUCACAGCUCUGAUCCAGGAUGGCAUUUCUUUUCCUGCCUCCCCCGUCAGUACUUCCUCCUUCUUCCUCUGAAUCCACCCCCUCACUACUGCUGCAGAUGAAAAAUUAUAAACCACUCUUGAAAAACUGUUCCUAGAGAGGCUACACGAUUUGAACAAGUUCCUAUUCAAAGCGGCAGGGGAGCGACACCUGCCUCUUAAAUUCUGACAGCGUAUACCAGGGAUUCAUUAGGCAGGAACAGAGGAUGGUUUUUGGAGCGGGCUUUCUACUGUGCCUCGACAGUUAAGUUACACAGGGACCUUGCAGAAGGCUCAAUGUGUUAUGAUUGGAAGCAGCUCUCUGUGGGAAGUCCCUUCCAAAGCCCAGAGGAAUCCUUUAAGGUGGUGCAGACUUGUUUCCCAGUGGGAUCUUCUCUGAAGACAGAGCCUCCAAAUGCACGUUUAGGCUCUGAUGUUUAGAGCACCUUAUUCCCGAGAGGCAGCCUGGUGUUGUGGGAUGUGCAGCAGGUGAUGAAUGUACUGGAAGAAGGGAUUAUUUUUUCUCCUAAAGGUUUUUAUUGGAAGACCAAGGUGUUAAGCCUGAGCUCUUCUAUUUGCUAGCCAGAUGAUUUUGCCUCAUUGAGCUGACUUCUCUUGGUUGCUCUAUCUGUAAAAUGGGGCUAGUAAGGCCAACUUGCAGAGGCACUGUGAGGAUCAAAUGAGCGGUCAAAGUGCACUGUAAGUUACGCAGUCCUGCACAACACUGCCGUUACUGCAAUAGUCUCUAAGUUGGUCUAUCUGUUCCCCUGUCCUCUCCCUCCUCCAUUAGGCCUUGUCCAGUGCUGUGAACUGGUUUUCCCAAAAUAUGAUUUUAAUUAAAUGGCAGGGUAAUAUUCAAGAUAUUAUUAAUAUUUCCCACCUCUGCUUCAUCUCCCAACAUUCCUUUUCAUCUUUCAUCCUAUAUCCACCAGGUAAUAUGAGGGACAAAGCAAAGAGACAAGUGCUUGUGAAUACAGGGGUUCCAGCCCUUCACCACUUCCAGACCAGGAAAGAUCUUGCAACCCUCACGAGGAGCUGUGGCUCCAAACCCUUGUGGAGCAGACCUACAGGAUGAGGAUGUCCCAGGGGCAUGAGGGGGAAAGUGGUCAGGGACCAGCUCCCUUCCCCAGUGCCUGCUAAGCCCCCCAGAACCUGGUCUUCACCCUGAGCAUGGGGGACUGGACCAUCCUUACUGAGGUGUUGCUUUCACCAGAGACUGGAGGGAAGGUUGGAAAUAAAGUUCCAUGUCAGUUCUUGGAUAUUUUAGUUUGAGGCUUGACAUUUGAAAGGCUGUUACUGACCAUGUUGCUUCUGUAAUCAAAAGGCCUUAGCAACUCCUUACAGUCUUCAAAUUCAAGUCCAUAUGUUAUCCUGUCAUCUUAGCUUCCUACAACCUAAUCAGCCCUCCCUGCCACCUAAUCAGCCCUCCCUGCCCCAGCCAAUCCAUCAGAUUUCCCAGUCUCUUCUUCCAGCCCAUUCCUGGCUCCGAAGCUCCAGCUGGGUCUAUCCCACUCCCCACUAGGAUCUCUGCCAUGGAGUCCCACAGCUUCCUCAACUCAUUAUCUCCUCACCUCCUUUACUUCCUGUAGUUCCUCUCACUGAUAACAGCCUCACAAGAGACACACUUAGAGGAGCAGAACCUGGGAGUCAUUCCAGUCCUCCCUCCACAUUUCUCCCUACAUCUAAUCAAUCCUAACAUCCGGUAGAGCCUACUUACUCAAUAUUUCUGGAUUCUGUUUCUUUCUCUGUAUUCUCACCCCUACUGUUUUAGUUCUGGCCUCAUUAUUUUUCAUUCUGACUUUGGCUCCUGCCUCUUUCAUUACCAUCUCCUUGCCUCCCUCCUCCACGCUGCAGAGGUAGCAGAGUAUAAGGGUUAAGAGUUUGGCCCAGGAGACAGAGCAUCUUUCUGCUCCUUACUACUCAACUGACUUGGGGCAACAGUGCAUGCAUCUCUCUGGAGAUGAUAGACAUUAUUGUGAGGCUCGAUGUUUAAAUCAUAGUUGGCCCUAAAUAGUGUAAAUAAUAUAAGACAAUGUUACUAUUUAUUAUCUUUCUAAAAUGCAAAUGUAAUAUGUCCUUUCAUAUGAAAUCUUUCAGUGAUUGCCCUGUCCUCUGAAUAAAGCCCAAAUUUCAUAGAACGUACUCAACGUGCCUUUAUGAUCUGAUCUCUACCCGUCUAACUACCUCAUUUCCCCUCACUCUCCAGUGGCCUUUGUACCCCUUCCUCCAAUGUGCAUCCUAAAGGGCCUUUGCAGCCCUUUGUGCUUGCAGUGCCAUGGCUCCCUCCUCAACCACUGAGCCCCCAGCUCA